rnacentral:lncRNA from 1 species
UGAUUCUGAGCCUGAGAUCCUGAAAAUAUUUCAGUUGUUGUUAAGAGGCUGGAGUUAGGACCCAGGAAGGACACAGCAGUGGGGAUAUAAAUAGAGAAGGAGAACAGAACAAGGUUUGAGGAGAGAGACUUACAUCACUCACUCCCUCUCCACCCAGAGAGCAGGACGGAGGUGUGAACUUGAGCCAGACCAGAAGGAGCUCCAGAGUGGCCGCAGGACAAGUCCGAGGAGCAGGCGGGUGCUCCAGGGAAAAACCACACACAAAACCUUCUUCGGAGAAAAGGGAAGCAGCAAACCUGACUGAGACAAACGGAGGCUUUUGAAAUAAAAAGAAAACACCGCAGGACGAACAGCCUCCCGUCCCAGGCGCAGGUCGCAGUCACAGUGGUGACCUGGGAUUGCUUUCCCGGGACUGUGAGUCGGGUUUGGGUUUCUCCUCCCUGCAUUCCACAGCUGCUCUGGUCAUCGCAGCGUGUUUAUUGAUCACUGAAGAAUCUCAAGUUUUGAGACAAGGAAGAAACACCCAUUAGAUCUCCAAAACAGCUGCGUUUCACAAACUUUAAGGAGACAGAACUUUUUUUUUUCUCCCUGGAACCUGUGAAAAUGUCCCUUUUCCAAGGAAGUGAAGGUUAAGAGGUCCCGUUCUCACAGACCCUCAGGAAUUUCACUUGGCUCUGAGCUUUGACCUCCCAGAAAGCCAUGGCAAAGCUGCUGCGGCUGUGCUGCUGGUACUCCCGCCUGCUGCUAUUUUAUUACAACUUUCAGGUAAUGUCCCCAAGUGGCCAGGAUGGAGACGGGCUCGGUUUCUCCGGAGGCUUUCCCUGAGCGUCUCUCACACUGUGGUCUUUUGUGUGCAGGUGCGUGGCGUCUACUCCAGAUCGCAGGACCAUCCAGGAUUUCAGGUCUUGGCGUCUGCUUCCCAUUACUGGCCACUGGAGAAUGUGGAUGGGAUCCAUGAACUUCAGGAUACAACUGGAGCGUCCCGAACCCACCAGCUCACUGUGCUUCCUUCCCGUAAUGCUACCUUUGUGUAUUCCAAUGACUCUGCCUACUCAAAUCUCUCUGCAACCGUAGAUAUUGUGGAAGGGAAGGUCAACAAAGGCAUUUACCUGAAAGAGGAAAAGGGAGUCACGCUUCUCUAUUAUGGCAGGUACAACAGCUCCUGCAUUAGCAAGCCAGAGCAGUGUGGCCCUGAAGGUGAGUAGCUGAUCCCUGCGGCGUCUUUGUCAUGCAUUUCAUUAUCAGGGAGCACCUGCUCCUC